UACGUAGGUGGCAAGCGUUGUCCGGAUUUACUGGGCGUAAAGAGCGCGCAGGCGGUCGAAUAAGUCGAAUGUGAAAGCCCCCGGCUUAACUGGGGAGGGUCAUUCGAUACUGCUCGACUUGAAGGCAGGAGAGGGUAGUGGAAUUCCCGGUGUAGUGGUGAAAUGCGUAGAUAUCGGGAGGAACACCAGUGGCGAAGGCGGCUUCCUGGACUGUCCCUGACGCUGAGGCUCGAAAGCGUGGGUAGCAAACAGG
rnacentral:rRNA from 1 species